rnacentral:rRNA from 1 species
CACGUAGGGGGCAAGCGUUGUCCGGAUUUAUUGGGCGUAAAGAGCUCGUAGGCUGUUCGAUAAGUCGGGUGUGAAACCUCCAGGCUCAACCUGGAGACGCCACCCGAUACUGUCAUGACUAGAGUCCGGUAGGGGAGCGUGGAAUUCCUGGUGUGAGCGGUGAAAUGCGCAGAUAUCAGGAGGAACACCAGCGGCGAAGGCGGGUCUCUGGGCAGUAACUGACGCUGAGGAGCGAAAGCGUGGGUAGCAAACAGG